AUUUACCAAGGAUUUUUAUUCAUAGCAGUGGAGCUAUGGGCCACUUGGGUUGAUCACUCGUAGUGAUAGCGAUAAACGUAGUGGUAGUUGAGACUUGAGGAUGGCAUAAUCAUUUUUCCCCUGUAUUUGCCCUUGUGUUGUACAGGCGGAGAGAUGCUCAAGAGUUCAAAGGUGGAGUCAAGUGUCCACUCAUGGCUGAACCCAAGCUUUGUGGUGGGGGUUGUUCAGUGAGGGGUAUGUUCAGCAGAGGACUUGCUCAGUUCAUAUUUUGAAUUAACUUGAGAUGGGAGAGGCUCUUCCCCACCCAGGUCUCGCCACUACGCUGCGAAUUCUUGGCUUUUGAAGUUGAAUGGUUUCCCGAUCUUCAUCCAGGUUCUGUGGGGUUUUAUUCAAGAUGGAAUUGAAUUAGUGAAGCACACUGCUCGGGGGUAUGUUGACUCGAAGCUUAGCUGACAGAUCAAGAUUACAGUACUCCCUAAUUAUUGAGUGCGCCUUUUGAUUCUUUGGAGUAGUGAUUACUGAUUAUAGAGCACUAGAAAAGUACAUGUCCUUAAAGUUCCCAUUAGUUUUGGAAUGAAUUAAUUGAGUUUUGCCAAACAUUUAAUGCAAGGGCUUUUUCUCCUUUUUACUGGCAGUAGGUUAAACUCUCAUGAAUGCUUUUGGUAACCUCAUAAUUAUUCAUUAUUCUGGGCAGUUGAAUUGAGUUUCGGUUGGUGUAAGGAGUUAAGGACUUAGGGUUUAUGUUUUCAGGAUUAGAAUGCUCAAAGCAUUUAGGAUCAAGCUUUUAUACGUUCGGCUUCUUGACAACCACUAGAAAUGACUCGGUGAAUGUAUGGCAGCAUGUAUGGAUAGAAAAACUCAGCUUAUCUAUUAUCAAUAGAGUUAGGCAAUGAAAACCGCAGAUAUCGUCGGUACUGACUUUCCAUUUAAGCUAUUUCCUGAUUGGGAUAAUCAAAUGUGUAUUAGCUCUGAUUGAUGCAUUAGUUUUAGUUAUUGCAAUGAGAAAUGAAAAAGCUGGUAGAAGGUAAGUAAUGGGCGAUGGUUGUGUAGCAAAAAUUUGGCAGCCUUGAUCGAAGUGAAAACCUUGAAAUGGACAGCCAGGUUGUAUGCUUAAUGCCUUUAAACAAGAUAAGUUUUGAAGAUGAGUUGUUUUCUGCUUUUAUUAUUCUAAAACUACUAUUGCUUUCUACUAUUGUUUUACUCAUUAUCAACAUGAUUUGACGAAUUCUCAAUUUAUAUUGCCAGCGUUCUUAACCCAGAGGAUGAAUACUGUGUUUUCUGUUUUUGAAAAGUUUGAUUAUUGCUAUCAAAAAGUGUUUUUUUGAGCUUUUGAGAUUUUUUUUUCCCAAAAAGUUAAGUUAAAAAAUUUUAAUUUAAAAUUUGAGGUUUGCUUUUUUAAAGACAUUUAAGUAGAUAUUUAUCGAGAAUAGUAUUGGACUUGUUGAGGAAUUCCUCAACAAGAUGCUCCAAUAUGUAACUUCUUUAUGUAAAAAGAUUGGUGAUUGUGAAGAUUUGAGAGAUUUGAGUUCAACCUAUCCCUAUUAUUAGGAGAUUGACUUACUUGACUGGUGGAAUGUGUAUAAAAUUUUUAUAAGAUUCAUCAUUUUUCUAUUUGAUUCACUAGCAAAGUAAUAUCUAGUUUAGUUUAGGAUCUGUUUGUUUACAUGUAAAAGAUUUUAUGGAAAAUGUUUUUUAUAUUUUUCUAUGUUCGUUUCAUGGAAAAUAACUCACAAAUUAAGGUAAAAUAAGUCAUUUUUUUCGGUAAAAUAAUUUAUCCUUAUCUUUUUAAAAAAUGGAAGUCAUUUUUGUGAAAAGAACUCAUCUAUAGAUAAUUUUAUUUUAUUUAUAAAAAUUAACUUAAAUCAAGCUUAAAUAUAAAUAAUAAAAUUUAUUUUUAUUUUUAAAAAUAUUAUAUUUUUUAAUAUUAUUAAACAUACAUAUUUACUUAUUUAUAUUUAAUCUUAUAAUAAAUUAUUAAUAUAAUAAAUAUAAUUUAUUAUUUUAAUAAAUUAUUUAAUAUUUUAAUUUUAUUUUAAUAAUAAAUUUUAAAAAUAAUAAUUUUAAAUAAUAUUAUUCACAUAUUAUUGAAAAUAUUCAAUAUUAAUAUAUUAAUAAUAAAUAUUUAUUACAAUUAUAAAUAUAUUAAUAAUAAAUAUUUUGUAAUAUAAAGGUUAAAAUAUGUCAUAAGUCUAUGUACACUUUAAAAUUUUUUAAUUUAAAUACUCAAUAGUCAUGUAAUUAGAAAAUGACGUAAUGAGUCUGAAUUUAACAUAUUAUUUUUAAUAUAUGCAAAAACAAUGUAAAAUAUAAAAUUAUAGAUAAAAGUAAAUUCAAUUAAGCAAUGAAAAAAAUAAGAAAAUAUCAAAUGUAUGUUUGUUUAAUUGAAAACAACUUUUAUAAAAUAUUUUUAAGAAAUCUAUCAAUCAACAGAAAUAUUUUACACAAAUUAAUCUAAACACUAGAAAAUAUUAGCUUUUCCAGAAAAGUAAAUUAUUUUCCAGAAAUUAUUUUCUGGAAAUCAUUUUCAGAGAAACAAACGGAGCCUUAAUUGUAUAUUAUAAUUCAUUAAUAUUACAUUUGGUAGGAAUAUUAUUUUUUAUACAUGUUUUAGUAUAUAAAUGAGCAAUAAACUAAUUCAUUUAGUAAUAUAUAGUUCCUAUGACUUGCUUUUAGCAAAAAGAUCGAACACCAUUUAUUUUGAAUAAAUUUUAAUUUCAAGUUUAAAAUUGUAUGAACUAUUCUUUAUUUUAUGUCUCAAUUAUUAUAAUAUAUAUAUAUAUAUAAUAAAUAAAUAUUUUUAUCAUGGUAUUAUACUUGUAACCAAAAGAAAAAUAAGAGUUGUGUUUUCAACCUUUAUUAGAAAAAGUAAUAUAGAGUGCGCGAAAAUAAGAUUGCAAUAAACUUUGGGCUGAUAGAAUAUAUAUUAAAGUUUAUACAAUGAUUGAAUAGUGAAUUUAUUUCUGAAUCAGUUCCUGCAUAUGUAGGUUUAAAAUCGAACUAAGCAAGCAAUUGUAAUGUUCUUUUCUAUUUUUAUAUUUGAAUAUAGGUUUAAUUUUCCAUAAAUUAACUCGUAGUAUCAAUUUUCUGCAAACUCAUAUCAGAAAUGAGGAGAAGAAAUAAUUAAGCAGCAGAAGGGAAGCCUUUGAAGGGGUUGCCAAGUGCAGCUACAUUUCCAGGGCGAGAAAGUACAACCUACAUUUGCAAAACAUUAAUGAUAAUUAAAUGGCAUAAACAAG
rnacentral:lncRNA from 1 species